AAUCACAGCCCUUCCAAAUAGCCCCUCAAUCACCCAUUUAAAUUGCGGUGCACUGUUUGGGGAUAUAUUUACCUUUUCUUCUAUUCCAUUGCAGUUAGAGAUCUUCCUUAGCUCAGGAAUUGUUUGCCUCUCUAUUUAUUCAUUGGUUGUCGGGAUCUUUGGCGUGAAUCCCCCAUAUACAUGGAAUCUAAACCAUGGAUAUCUAUUUAAAUGGGAAUUGACUCUGCCUCCCAACUGCUACAUUGAGGAUAAGAUGUGGCUGGUGAAAUUCUACAUCAAGGUUAGAGAAAACCCAGUUAGCCCAGGGUUGUCAGUGGGCUCGUCACAGCCUCCAGCUAGUUCAAAAUCUAGGCUUAAACCAACCUAGUUCAAAUGAUCUGCCAUUAAAGCAGUUAACUAUCAGGUUGACAUGUCUAUUCGUGUAGAGAUGACUAUGGAGGGGAUUGCAAACCUCUAAGGCCUUGUGCCUGGGUAAUUGAUUAUGGAGUUCAUAAGCUUUGGAAAUACAAUAAUGUUGAGGAGGGGUCUCGCCCCUAUAUUUGACAAUAUGAACAGGGGAUGUACAAUCCACACACAUUCAGGUGGGC